AUUAAAUCAAACAAUAUCAAUAUUUUUUAUUAAAAAAACAGUUGUUUUUGCUCUCUCUGUCUCUCUCCAAUCUGCUUCUUCGUUCUCCAGUCUUGGCAUCCCUCGAUCCCAUUGAAUAAAAUUUCUUCUCCUCCCACGUUCAUGGCGGGAACCUUCGCCUUCUGUCACUGCUCUUCGUGAGGCGCUAAACCGCUCCGCCUAGGGUCUGGGUUUCCUGGUGAUCCCCACUCGGUUUUGGGGGAGGUCAAUCUAGGGUUAAGCUUAGGGUUUCUUCAAUGUUCAACAGGAUCAUAAAGCGGGGCAACCGCAAAGCCCCCAAGGCGGAGUCCGCCGCCUCCUUACCCCCCGCCGGCCAGGCCACUGUCACCGUCAACCUUGCCUCCCGCUCCUCAGGCGCCGAUCCCGGCUCCCCCCGCCAACUGCACUCCUCCCCAGCCCCCGGCGCCGUACCGCAAAUCGAGUCCCUCCCGCUCUUCCGCGAUGUGCCCGUACUCGAGCGCCAGGCGCUCUUUCUCCGCAAACUCCGGAUCUGCUCUGUGCUCUUCGACUUCUCCGACACGCUCAAGUCGGCCCGCGAGAAGGAGGUGAAGCGGCAGACGCUGUCGGAGCUCGUCGACUUCGUACAAUCCGGCUCCGGCCGGCUCAACGAGCAGGUACAGGAAGAGCUCGUCCGUACUGUGGACGUCAAUAUCUUCCGCAGUCUCCCUCCGGCUUCCCAUGAAAACACCGGCGUCGAGCCCACCGACCCGGAGGAGGAGGACCCCUACCUCGACCCCGCCUGGCCUCAUCUCCAGCUCGUCUACGAGCUCCUUCUCCGCUACGUCGUAUCGUCCGACACCGAUACCAAGGUCGCCAAGCGCUACAUCGACCACUCAUUCGUGCUCCGCCUUCUCGACCUCUUAAAUUCCGAAGACCCCCGCGAACGCGAGUACCUCAAAACCAUCCUCCAUCGCAUCUAUGGCAAGUUCAUGGUCCACCGCCCUUUCAUUCGCAAGGCCAUCAAUAACAUCUUCUACAGAUUUAUCUUCGAGACGGAGAGGCAUAGCGGCAUCGGCGAGCUGUUGGAAAUCCUUGGCAGUAUUAUCAAUGGGUUCGCUUUGCCGAUGAAGGAAGAACACAAAUUGUUCCUCGUCCGUGCGCUCAUCCCAUUGCACAAGCCGAAACCUGUCGGGUUGUAUCACCAGCAGCUUUCUUACUGCAUCGUGCAAUUUGUCGAGAAGGAUUAUAAGCUAGCCGAUACAGUCAUUAGAGGGCUGCUGAAAUACUGGCCCGUUACUAAUUGUCAGAAGGAAGUGCUGUUCCUUGGGGAGCUGGAGGAGGUGCUCGAGGCAACGCAACCAGCAGAGUUCCAACGGUGCAUGGUUCCCUUGUUCAAGCAGAUUGCUCGCUGCCUCAGCAGUUCACACUUUCAGGUGGCUGAACGAUCUUUAUUUCUCUGGAACAAUGAUCAUAUAGUGAGCUUAGUCGCCCAAAACCGCAGUGUGAUACUGCCCAUCAUAUUUGAGGCACUAGAGAAGAACAUGCAAGGCCAUUGGAACCAAGCUGUUCAUGGACUAACAGCAAACGUUCGCAAGAUGUUUCUUGACAUGGAUAGUGAUCUAUUUGAAGCGUGCCAACAACAAUACCUAGAAAAAGAAGAAAAAACUAAAUAUUUGGAAGCACAAAGGGAGUCGGCAUGGAGAAGUAUAGAAGCUGCUCUUCAGGAGAAGAAACGGUUGUAGCCAAUUGGCCAAAAAUAUGGUUUCUUCUAAUAUCCUCCACAAAUAGGAUGAAGCAGAGUAAAAUCCUGGAACUUUUGACUUAACAGCAGCAUCUGAAGCAUAUUGGCCUCUGCAUUUUCUCUUCUAAUGAUCAGGGAGAUCCAAGAGACUGUGCUAUCUCAGCAAAUAGAGGACCUGUGACGAGAUAAGCUCAGUAAACAAAGAUGCUAAAUCUGGCAGAGGCUAUUUCUUCACCUUCUUACAUGCCAAGUGAUGUUGCUGCAUGUGUAACCAUUGUUGGCGCUUAGUGCAAGUCAUCGCCUCCUCUUCGACAACAGCAUAGGCUCUUCGAGUGCGUCCAUCGCUGCCUCUUCUUCGACUUUAUCUUCCUCCUCUACCGCCGCACUCCACAGCAAGCUAGAAAGCUCAAGGUAACCCUUAACCCUAAACCUUUCUUUCCUAUUCCACAAAAAAAAAAAGGGGAAACUGUCUCACUGCUGAUGAGCGGCAAGGCAACAUCUCGAACGGUUGCUACCCCACCAAGCAACAACGUAGCCAUUGCCAUGUUCACUUCUUCAGCAAUGGCAAGGAUCACCAUUUUUUUAUUCACUUUUUGGGAUUAGAAUUGGGAUUAGAUUAAGUAGGGUUUCAUGGUGUUUAAGGAUAUUA